GGCUGGUCUAAUGGUAGUGUGUUAUUCAGAAUCUAUUAACAUUCGUGUCCCUGAAAUUGGUAUGCAACUCCCCACUGCUAAAUAUGACUUGUCUUUU
rnacentral:Y_RNA from 1 species